rnacentral:rRNA from 1 species
ACUGCAAGUCGAGCGAACGGACGAGAAGCUUGCUUCUCUGAUGUUAGCGGCGGACGGGUGAGUAACACGUGGAUAACCUACCUAUAAGACUGGGAUAACUUCGGGAAACCGGAGCUAAUACCGGAUAAUAUUUUGAACCGCAUGGUUCAAAAGUGAAAGACGGUCUUGCUGUCACUUAUAGAUGGAUCCGCGCUGCAUUAGCUAGUUGGUAAGGUAACGGCUUACCAAGGCAACGAUGCAUAGCCGACCUGAGAGGGUGAUCGGCCACACUGGAACUGAGACACGGUCCAGACUCCUACGGGAGGCAGCAGUAGGGAAUCUUCCGCAAUGGGCGAAAGCCUGACGGAGCAACGCCGCGUGAGUGAUGAAGGUCUUCGGAUCGUAAAACUCUGUUAUUAGGGAAGAACAUAUGUGUAAGUAACUGUGCACAUCUUGACGGUACCUAAUCAGAAAGCCACGGCUAACUACGUGCCAG